UUUUGCUGAGACCUUCGGGUGGAUUUAAAAGUGACUGAGUGGCGGACGGGUGAGUAACGCGUGGGUAACCUGCCUCACACAGGGGGAUAACAGUUAGAAAUGACUGCUAAUACCGCAUAAGCGCACGGUCUCGCAUGGGACAGUGUGAAAAACUCCGGUGGUGUGAGAUGGACCCGCGUCUGAUUAGCUAGUUGGUGGGGUAACGGCCUACCAAGGCGACGAUCAGUAGCCGACCUGAGAGGGUGACCGGCCACAUUGGGACUGAGCCACGGCCCAAACUCCUACGGGAGGCAGCAGUGGGGAAUAUUGCACAAUGGGGGAAACCCUGAUGCAGCGACGCCGCGUGAUUGAAGAAGUAUUUCGGUAUGUAAAGAUCUAUCAGCAAGGAAGAAAAUGACGGUACUUGACUAAGAAGCCCCGGCUAACUACGUGCCAGCAGCCGCGGUAAUACGUAGGGGGCAAGCGUUAUCCGGAUUUACUGGGUGUAAAGGGAGCGUAGGCGGUCUGGCAAGCCAGAAGUGAAAGCCCGGGGCUUAACCCCGGGACUGCUUUUGGAACUGUUAGACUAGAGUGUCGGAGAGGUAAGUGGAAUUCCUAGUGUAGCGGUGAAAUGCGUAGAUAUUAGGAGGAACACCAGUGGCGAAGGCGGCUUACUGGACGAUAACUGACGCUGAGGCUCGAAAGCGUGGGGAGCAAACAGGAUUAGAUACCCUGGUAG
rnacentral:rRNA from 1 species